rnacentral:rRNA from 2 species
GACGAACCGUGCAAACGUUGUUCGGAAUCACUGGGCUUAAAGGGCGCGUAGGCGGCUUGUCAAGUCAGGGGUGAAAUCUUUCGGCUUAACCGGAAAAGUGCCUUUGAUACUGACAGGCUCGAGGGAGGUAGGGGUAUGUGGAACUUCUGGUGGAGCGGUGAAAUGCGUUGAUAUCAGAAGGAACGCCGGUGGCGAAAGCGACGUACUGGACCUCUUCUGACGCUGAGGCGCGAAAGCUAGGGGAGCAAACGGG